rnacentral:rRNA from 1 species
GCAAGUCGAGGGGCAGCACGGUUUUCGGACUGGUGGCGACCGGCGCACGGGUGCGUAACGCGUAUGCAACCUACCCAUUACUGGAGGAUAGCCCGGGGAAACUCGGAUUAAUACUCCAUAGUAUUAUAGAUUGGCAUCAUGAAAUAAUUAAAGAUUUAUUGGUAAUGGAUGGGCAUGCGUAAGAUUAGUUAGUUGGUGAGGUAACGGCUCACCAAGGCGACGAUCAGUAGCCGACCUGAGAGGGUGAUC